rnacentral:rRNA from 1 species
GAUGAACGCUGGCGGCGUGCCUAAUACAUGCAAGUCGAGCGAACGGACGAGAAGCUUGCUUUUCUGAUGUUAGCGGCGGACGGGUGAGUAACACGUGGAUAACCUACCUAUAAGACUGGGAUAACUUCGGGAAACCGGAGCUAAUACCGGAUAAUAUUUUGAACCGCAUGGUUCAAAAGUGAAAGACGGUCUUGCUGUCACUUAUAGAUGGAUCCGCGCUGCAUUAGCUAGUUGGUAAGGUAACGGCUUACCAAGGCAACGAUGCAUAGCCGACCUGAGAGGGUGAUCGGCCACACUGGAACUGAGACACGGUCCAGACUCCUACGGGAGGCAGCAGUAGGGAAUCUUCCGCAAUGGGCGAAAGCCUGACGGAGCAACGCCGCGUGAGUGAUGAAGGUCUUCGGAUCGUAAAACUCUGUUAUUAGGGAAGAACAUAUGUGUAAGUAACUGUGCACAUCUUGACGGUACCUAAUCAGAAAGCCACGGCUAACUACGUGCCAGCAGCCGCGGUAAUACGUAGGUGGCAAGCGUUAUCCGGAAUUAUUGGGCGUAAAGCGCGCGUAGGCGGUUUUUUAAGUCUGAUGUGAAAGCCCACGGCUCAACCGUGGAGGGUCAUCGGAAACUGGAAAACUUGAGUGCAGAAGAGGAAAGUGGAAUUCCAUGUGUAGCGGUGAAAUGCGCAGAGAUGUGGAGGAACACCAGUGGCGAAGGCGACUUUCUGGUCUGUAACUGACGCUGAUGUGCGAAAGCGUGGGGAUCAAACAGGAUUAGAUACCCUGGUAGUCCACGCCGUAAACGAUGAGUGCUAAGUGUUAGGGGGUUUCCGCCCCUUAGUGCUGCAGCUAACGCAUUAAGCACUCCGCCUGGGGAGUACGACCGCAAGGUUGAAACUCAAAGGAAUUGACGGGGGCCCGCACAAGCGGUGGAGCAUGUGGUUUAAUUCGAAGCAACGCGAAGAACCUUACCAAAUCUUGACAUCCUUUGACAACUCUAGAGAUAGAGCCUUCCCCUUCGGGGGACAAAGUGACAGGUGGUGCAUGGUUGUCGUCAGCUCGUGUCGUGAGAUGUUGGGUUAAGUCCCGCAACGAGCGCAACCCUUAAGCUUAGUUGCCAUCAUUAAGUUGGGCACUCUAAGUUGACUGCCGGUGACAAACCGGAGGAAGGUGGGGAUGACGUCAAAUCAUCAUGCCCCUUAUGAUUUGGGCUACACACGUGCUACAAUGGACAAUACAAAGGGCAGCGAAACCGCGAGGUCAAGCAAAUCCCAUAAAGUUGUUCUCAGUUCGGAUUGUAGUCUGCAACUCGACUACAUGAAGCUGGAAUCGCUAGUAAUCGUAGAUCAGCAUGCUACGGUGAAUACGUUCCCGGGUCU